AAUGGUUGUCUCUCGGGAGCGGGGACUCUGGCGGCCUCGGCCCCGGGGCCCCUCCCCCCACCCUGCUCCACAGCCCGCGGCGCGGGCGAACCGCGCGACUCCAGCACCCGGGAGGAAACCCGGGAGGGGGCGGCCGCCCCAGGCGCACGCCCGGCCAGCCGGCUUCCGGCAACUCAAGGGUUACGGCGAGGCGGCGGCGCGCGCCGAGGGGAGAGGCGGUUGCUGACAGGUGGCGCCUGCGCACUGGGAGCGCUCAUUGUGCCCCGCAGCUGCCGAACCGCCCGCCCGCCAGCCGCCCGCUCGGCGCUUCAGUCUGCGAGAGUCCGGCGGUGGGUGCGGAGCCUGCGGCCGUUCUCGCGGCCUCCUCCUCCUCCUCCCCGUCCCCCUCACCCCCACCCCACACCCCUUUCCCCAUCCCGGCUCCGUCACCCUCCCGCCCCCCACACUCGAGACAAGAAUGCCCUGCCCGGAACAACCCAGCACCGCCUAGAUGGCUUUGGUCACGGUCCAGCGGUCGCCUACCCCCAGCACCACCUCCAGCCCCUGCGCCUCGGUGAGUCCCUCCCGGCGGCAGCUCCGCUCGCUUCUGUCACUGCGGCUCCGCUUUGCCUCAGCGGGUCCCGCCGAGCGCCACUGCGCACGCGCCGCGCCGCUUCCCAGGCCUUGGCACUCGGCUGCCGCGAACCCCCCACACUCCCCAUCUUAAAGACGAGCUGCAGGAACUACGGGACGUUGGUUUUUGUCCCCAUCACUCCGGGCACUUCGCUCUCACGAUCCUCGCCCCGAACCCCCCUGUGGCAUGCCUUCCUACGGCUUGAGCACUUCCUUUCGGGAAUGAGUCAUUCUUGCUUUUCACCCUCCCCCUUCCUUUCCCCUCUGUUGCUCUGCUGCAGGGAGAGGACCAUGGGACUCCUGCGGUGCCCAUUACCCACACCCAUUUCAGGGGCCCGUUCAGUCUUCGCACACAGCACCCUUUCUUCAGGCUUUCCGGGGUGUGCGCCUUCCCCCUAG
rnacentral:lncRNA from 1 species